rnacentral:lncRNA from 1 species
CUUUGCCCCGUGUGAGGGCAGGCUUUGCCCGCUGUGAGGGCAGGCUUUGCCCCGUGUGAGGGCAGGCUUUGCCCGCUGUGAGGGCAGGCUUUGCCCCGUGUGAGGGCAGGCUUUGCCCCGUGUGAGGGCAGGCUUUGCCCGGUGUGAGGGCAGGCUUUGCCCGGUGUGAGGGCAGGCUUUGCCCGCUGUGAGGGCAGGCUUUCCCCAUGUGAAGGACAGGCUCUGCCCGCCACAGCAUAGGGAGGCAGGAAGGGCACUGCCCGCAGCUCCAGGCGGCUCCUGGCAGCAGCCUUUUUCCCUCUUUUGGAAGGCUCUCAGAGGCCCUGGCCCCAUCAGGGCAUCCUGGCCAUAGUGUCAGGAAGGUGGUGACACUCCUGGCAGGUGGGAAAGGGUGAAUUAAAACUGCCCGCCAUAGCAGUGGGUCACUGGGAAGGAAGAUUUGGGCUAUAGACACAGUGUUAAAACCUGGAAUUUUGGGGGCAGAGUUUUGGUGAAACAAGAACCAUCCAAACCUUCAGCAAAGUAAUUCUUUGCUGUAGCUGGUCAUCAUUUUGCCUGCCAUCAAUGACAAAACACUUUGGAACAGGAUGUGUUUACAGCCUUUCUACCCGCACACUGAGCAUCCUCAGCAUUUUAUAAGCUCCAUCUACCUCUAAAUAUUUAGGUGCUUACACAAAGUAUUUGACUUCUAGAAAUGAGCUUCUGCUACUAUUGGCACUAUCUACUGAAGCAGAACAGGAAAACCCAAAGUCUGCAAAGCUCCAGAUCUGUAUAUUCAGUGCCUGAUCUAAAGCCAUUUCAAACCCAUCUAAGUCUCUGUGGAACUGGGAUUCACAUAAGGCCUUUAAUGUUGCUAAAAGGUACUGCACGAUUGAAGAUGACUGUGAGCAGUAAUUACUGAGGAGGAAUUGUGGCUGAGGGCUGGGCAGAAACACCUGGGGUUCAUCUGGAGCUACAGGAACAUUCUUAUUGUGGAGAUGGUCUGUCCUCCCCAAGAUACAGGUAGACAGACUUCAUUGUUUGAUGCCGUUUUUGAAAUUUUGUAGCAGAUUUUUGUAAAUGAAUGAAGUUCUGAAUUAAAUGAGCGAGAGUUUACUGCAGUUGGCACAGUGACUGCUGGGCUCUUUUGUGAGCUGCUAAAUAGACUUGGUUUCAUCCAUCCCCAUUUUUGAUGCUGAUGUGUUUUGGGCAUCUGCAAACAAUUUUUCUGCUAGCUGCUGAGGAGAGAUCAGUGAGGAGGGAGGGUGGUAUCUGAGGGGAUGCUGAAUGAGACUGUAAGCAAGCACACAGGCCACAGGUGUUCUUAAUACCAUCAGCACUGAAACAGUUAACACUGUGGGGAUGGGGAACCUCAGGGUCUCAGUUAACAAAUAUUUAGAAAAACAGAAAAAUAUUUUCUGCUUCCCAGGGCUAUCAUUUCAAGCAGGCUAUGAAGAAGAAAGCUGAGUGAGUUUACAUGUCU